rnacentral:rRNA from 1 species
UAGGGAAUCUUCGGCAAUGGACGGAAGUCUGACCGAGCAACGCCGCGUGAGUGAAGAAGGUUUUCGGAUCGUAAAGCUCUGUUGUUAGAGAAGAACGUUGGUAGGAGUGGAAAAUCUACCAAGUGACGGUAACUAACCAGAAAGGGACGGCUAACUACGUGCCAGCAGCCGCGGUAAUACGUAGGUCCCGAGCGUUGUCCGGAUUUAUUGGGCGUAAAGCGAGCGCAGGCGGUUCUUUAAGUCUGAAGUUAAAGGCAGUGGCUUAACCAUUGUACGCUUUGGAAACUGGAGGAAUUGAGUGCAGAAGGGAAGAGUGGAAUUCCAUGUGUAGCGGUGAAAUGCGUAGAUAUAUGGAGGAACACCGGUGGCGAAAGCGGCUCUCUGGUCUGUAACUGACGCUGAGGCUCGAAAACGUGGGGAGCAAACAGG